rnacentral:rRNA from 1 species
GCCAAUUAAUUUAACUUGGGAGUCAGAACAUGGGUGAUAAGGUCCGUGUUCGAAAGGGAAACAGCCCAGACCACCAGCUAAGGUCCCAAAAUAUAUGUUAAGUGGAAAAGGAUGUGGCGUUGCCCAGACAACUAGGAUGUUGGCUUAGAAGCAGCCAUCAUUUAAAGAGUGCGUAAUAGCUCACUAGUCGAGUGACACUGCGCCGAAAAUGUACCGGGGCUAAACAUAUUACCGAAGCUGUGGAUUGUCCUUUGGACAAUGGUAGGAGAGCGUUCUAAGGGCGUUGAAGCAUGAUCGUAAGGACAUGUGGAGCGCUUAGAAGUGAGAAUGCCGGUGUGAGUAGCGAAAGACGGGUGAGAAUCCCGUCCACCGAUUGACUAAGGUUUCCAGAGGAAGGCUCGUCCGCUCUGGGUUAGUCGGGUCCUAAGCUGAGGCCGACAGGCGUAGGCGAUGGAUAACAGGUUGAUAUUCCUGUACCACCUAUA